AACGAACGCUGGCGGCAUGCCUAACACAUGCAAGUCGAACGAGACCUUCGGGUCUAGUGGCGCACGGGUGCGUAACGCGGGGGAACCUGCCCUUAGGUUCGGAAUAACUCCCCGAAAGGGGUGCUAAUACAGGAUAAUGUCUUCGGACCAAAGAUUUAUCGCCUUUGGAUGGGCCCGCGUUGGAUUAGCUAGUUGGUAGGGUAAAAGCCUACCAAGGCGACGAUCCAUAGCUGGUCUGAGAGGAUGAUCAGCCACACUGGGACUGAGACACGGCCCAGACUCCUACGGGAGGCAGCAGAGGGGAAUAUUGGACAAUGGGCGAAAGCCUGAUCCAGCAAUGCCGCGUGAGUGAUGAAGGCCUUAGGGUUGUAAAGCUCUUUUACCCGGGAUGAUAAUGACAGUACCGGGAGAAUAAGCUCCGGCUAACUCCGUG
rnacentral:rRNA from 1 species